AUUCAAAUAAAAAAAAAAAAUUAAGCUAAAAUUAAAAAAUGUCCAAAAUUUGCUUAGCAUGAGAUACUUGCAUUUUCGGGUAAUUGGCAACGCGAUAAUUGAAAAUUUAAGUAGAAUUUUGCAGCAAAUUUUCAAUAGAUCAAAUAGAUAAAAAAAACAAAUAUAUGAGGUCUGUUAUGUUAAGCGACAUAAAACCGGAUUUCACUUAAUAAAUUUGUAAGGUGAUAAAAUUUAAUUUUAACAAUUGGCAUUUACGCAAUAUAAAAUUUUAAAUAACAAUUGUCAAACGAAAUGUAAAUAUUAUAUUAGCAACGCGACAGAAAUAGCGGAAGGAAAUGUAUAAGCAUUUCGUGUUGAAAAUUGUGAAACAAGUUAGUGGCGAACUUUUUAAUAAAUUCUUGUAGAAAACUGUUUCUGUGUUUGCAAUCGACGUUAAACGUUUACUUCUUGACAAUUUUUAAGAUAAAAAAUAUAUAAAAGUUCAUUUCAAAUCCAAUAUUGCCGAUAAAUUAAAUAAUAAUAGCAAAUGGAAGAAGCAAUAGCUGAUCAGUACUGCUUAUUUGUGCAAUAAAUUUGGAUUGUGCAAGGGCUUGAAAUGAAGUUUAUGAGCGGUUCAAUAGGAUGUGCAACAUCUUUUCAGUUUUGCGUUAAGUUGAUAGCUUCAAAGAGAGUUCUAACUUUAUUGACACAGUUCGAAUCAAACCGAAGUACGAAACUCUGGCUCUGACGAAGAAGAAGAAGAAGGAUUUUAUGAGCUUACUCGCCACAGAUUCUGAUUGCAAAGUUCCUUUACGAAUUUCGUGCGUGCCAACUUCCUAUCUAUUACUGAAGAAAAUAGAGUCUGACCAAACUUAUAGGCCGUAACAUUUGCCAGUUGGCGAAGUACCACCAAGCAAACCAUAAAAUAACGAAUAUAACCGUUCUUUAUAUGCGUUCUGUCCGCAACUUAGCCCAAAGUCACUGCAAUCGAAUGGAAUUGGGAUGCGGAUGCGGUGUACAAUUCUUUUUGCCAUUUUGCAACAUUACCGCUAAAAGUUGAUUAUGACGCUGUAAUUUGUCUGGAUGUAGAUACGAUAGUUGUGGGCACAUCCGGGAAACCAACGAGUCAACCAAUAACAUAAAUAACGGAUAUAUAGGCAAAUUGACAAGAAGCAGUUAGCACUUAACAUUUAGAAAAGUUUUGGGUUUCCUUGACUCUGUUGCCGGUCUACAGGAUUAUCUCCAACAGAAGCUGUCUGGCGAUAAUUUUAUGCAGAAAAAUUUUCAUCAUCGCCAAACACAUUUUUUCAGAGCUCCUCUUGGAAAUCGGCUACGGGUCAAAGGAAACCAAAAGUUUUCUAAAUGAAUCACCACUUAUUAAACUACAUUAAAUUCUGUAAAUAAAAUGCUUUCUCUAAAAACAAAAGAAUCAUGAAGAACGCAUUUUUCUGCGACACAUUUCCGUAGUCACUUCGGUUCUUCGUUUGACUUUAUGCAGAAUACAUCGGUAAAUAUGUCAAAUAUUUUAGUAGCCUUAAGCGACUAAUGCGGUGUGAUGCCAACAAUUUAUGAAAACGGUCAUUAUAUUAUUCUAACUUCCAUGAAAAUAGCACAAUGAUUUUCGCCAUGUUGGUUGUUUCUGAUAAUAUUUCAACUGAUAACAAAGUUUUACUCGAAAAUAUCUCCUGGGCUAUUGAUUAUGGCUAAUUGCGAGUUAUAGAAUGUUCGGCUGCACCUGAACUGAGCCUACCGCUAACAGCCAAAUAUAUGAUCGCUGACUUGUUAUUGUAACGGCAGAAAAUAUUCGAUAAAAAAUUUUGAGGAAAACAUAUGUUGACAAGCUAAGAAACGGAAAUGUGAUAAAAAACGAAUAAAUUUUUGAGUAUAAAGUUUAAAGAUGCGAAUAAUGGCAGUGGCGUUUACUUAUCUACAGUGCGAUCAAAUCGCGGAAAAGAGUUUUUAUUUAUUCUGCAAAUUAACACAUGUUUAAUUGUGAUCAUAGACGCUUACAAUUUGGUCAGUUUUUUUCGAACUUAUGUGGCACGUUCUGCUGUGAAAGAAGAAAAAUAAGUGAUUAGUAAAACAGCAGCCUUUCUAACGAAGCAUCCUAAACCGACCGAUCAAAGGAAACCAAAGCGUGUGCUGAAUAUCGCGUAUAUAUGUAUUUCUAAACCUUCUACCUACACAUAAUAUGUGCACAAAACCGCGCUUGUACCAAUCAAAUUGUGACACGACAACUUUAAACUUGGCAAACGCGGUCACCAAAUGUAUUGAAGCUUGCAACAUUAUCGAUAUCAUGUUUUACAAAAUGCCAACACUGGUGCUGAAGAUGCAUUUCUAGCUGAUUUCCGAAAACGAAUACACCGUGAAAAAUAUCUUUGAGACAACCGAAAGAUAAAUCGCUACAUGUGCUGGUGAGCGCUGAGCGCAGGUCAUUUGCGAGCGGGUUCGUUGGAGCGGCGCAUACGUAGAUGCGUGGGAAAGAAUGCCACAUAGCGGACAACUGAAGAAAGAAAACGGCGAGUUAAAGGAUUGUGAGCAAUAAAAGAUGACUACCAAAGGCUGUGUGCUUCCCCGGAACCGCUUAACGUUCCCUUGGGGACAACACUUCAACACAAAACAUUAUUAUUAAAUCAAUGCAAAAUUAAGUAAAAAAAAUCCUUUGUAUGCUUGAAAGUAAUAAUAAAAACAUGUAGAAAU